rnacentral:rRNA from 1 species
AGUGAACGCUGGCGGUAGGCCUAACACAUGCAAGUCGAACGGCAGCACAGUAAGAGCUUGCUCUUACGGGUGGCGAGUGGCGGACGGGUGAGGAAUACAUCGGAAUCUACUUUUUCUUGGGGGAUAACGUAGGGAAACUUACGCUAAUACCGCAUACGACCUACGGGUGAAAGCAGGGGAUCUUCGGACCUUUCGCGAUUGAAUGAGCCGAUGUCGGAUUAGCUAGUUGGCGGGGUAAAGGCCCACCAAGGCGACGAUCCGUAGCUGGUCUGAGGGGAGGAUCAGCCACACUGGAACUGAGACACGGUCCAGACUCCUACGGGAGGCAGCAGUGGGGAAUAUUGGACAAUGGGCGCAAGCCUGAUCCAGCCAUACCGCGUGGGUGAAGAAGGCCUUCGGGUUGUAAAGCCCUUUUGUUGGGAAAGAAAAGCAGCAGGUUAAUACCCCGCUGUUCUGACGGUACCCAAAGAAUAAGCACCGGCUAACUUCGUG